AACGAACGCUGGCGGCAGGCCUAACACAUGCAAGUCGAACGGUUGUAGCAAUACAGCAGUGGCGCACGGGUGAGUAACGCGGGGGAACAUACCUUAGAGUUCGGAAUAACAUCGGGAAACUGAGGCUAAUACCGGAUAUUCUCCCCGGAGGAAAGAUUUACCGCGCUAAGAUUGGCCCGCGUCAGAUUAGCUAGUUGGUGAGGUAAUGGCUCACCAAGGCUCCGAUCUGUUGCUGGUCUGAGAGGACGACCAGCCACACGGGAACUGAGACACGGUCCAGACUCCUACGGGAGGCAGCAGUGGGGAAUAUUGGACAAUGGGCGAAAGCCUGAUCCAGCCAUGCCGCGUGAAUGAUGAAGGCCUUAGGGUUGUAAAGUUCUUUUGCCAGGGAAGAUAAUGACGGUACCUGGAGAAUAAGCACCGGCUAACUUCGUGCCAGCAGCCGCCGUAA
rnacentral:rRNA from 1 species